UAUCGCUUUGGCGGAAAAGGCUACACCUGAAGUGAUCAAUUUCAUGAUUACUGAAGGUAGGGGUCUGGUGUGUGUUCCCAUUACGCAGCAACGU
rnacentral:tRNA from 1 species